GCAAACUUGGUCAUUUAGAGGAAGUAAAAGUCGUAACAAGGUCUCCGUUGGUGAACCAGCGGAGGGAUCAUUACUGAGUUGUAAAAAACUCCCAAACCCAUGUGAACCUACUGUUUUGUUGCCUCGGCGGGCUGGCCCCCCGGCGGACCUACCCGGUAGCUUCGGGCGGACCUACCCUGCAAUGCGGGAGCGGUCCUACCCGGUAGCCUCACCGGCCGGUCCUACCCGGGAGUGCCGCCCAAGGCCCGCCGGCGGCCCACCAAACUCUGUUUUUACUUGGUACUCUGAGUGAUUACGCAAAUAAUCAAAACUUUCAACAACGGAUCUCUUGGUUCUGGCAUCGAUGAAGAACGCAGC
rnacentral:misc_RNA from 1 species